GUCUACGGCCAUGCCACCUUGAACAAGCCCGAUGUCUGAUCUCGGAAGCUAAGCAGGGUUGGGCCUGAUUAGUACUUGGAUGGGAGACAUAAGGAACUAUAAAAU
rnacentral:rRNA from 1 species